rnacentral:lncRNA from 1 species
AGAUUGCUUUAUCUUAGAUUUUAUCUUUCUAACAUUCUCUAACCUUUGCUUGUUCUGGCCAAGAUACUCUAUGGUAAGGUGAAGUAAGUUAGUUUUCAUUCUUGAUCUCCUUCCAGCUCCGGACAUUUAUUGAGUUAGCGUUAUUAUGGCAUUUUCAGUUUUUUUUUUUGUGAAUGUGGAGGUUUUAGGUUUAGAUUAUGUGUCUGCUCUAGUUUCUUCAUUUUAGUUUGGUUAUUUUAUAAUUUUUAAUAAUAAAAUAAA